UGGAAACGAUGAAAUAGAGAUAAUUGGGUGUUGAAUGUUAUAAGCUUGGAAAAUUUUAAUACAUAAAUUAUGUAAUUAAUCUAAGUUUUUAAAAAAGCAGAUCAUAAAAUUACAUUCCAG